rnacentral:rRNA from 1 species
AACGAACGCUGGCGGCAUGCCUAACACAUGCAAGUCGAACGAUGCCUUCGGGCAUAGUGGCGCACGGGUGCGUAACGCGUGGGAAUCUGCCCUUCGGUUCGGAAUAACUCAGGGAAACUUGAGCUAAUACCGGAUAAUGACGUAAGUCCAAAGAUUUAUCGCCGAAGGAUGAGCCCGCGUAGGAUUAGGUAGUUGGUGGGGUAAUGGCCCACCAAGCCGACGAUCCUUAGCUGGUCUGAGAGGAUGAUCAGCAACACUGGGACUGAGACACGGCCCAGACUCCUACGGGAGGCAGCAGUGGGGAAUAUUGGACAAUGGGCGAAAGCCUGAUCCAGCAAUGCCGCGUGAGUGAUGAAGGCCUUAGGGUUGUAAAGCUCUUUUACCAGGGAUGAUAAUGACAGUACCUGGAGAAUAAGCUCCGGCUAACUCCGUGCCAGCAGCCGCCGUAACAC